ACGAACGCUGGCGGCGUGCCUAAUACAUGCAAGUCGAACGCUUCUUUUUCCACCGGAGCUUGCUCCACCGGAAAAAGAGGAGUGGCGAACGGGUGAGUAACACGUGGGUAACCUGCCCAUCAGAAGGGGAUAACACUUGGAAACAGGUGCUAAUACCGUAUAACAAUCGAAACCGCAUGGUUUUGAUUUGAAAGGCGCUUUCGGGUGUCGCUGAUGGAUGGACCCGCGGUGCAUUAGCUAGUUGGUGAGGUAACGGCUCACCAAGGCGACGAUGCAUAGCCGACCUGAGAGGGUGAUCGGCCACAUUGGGACUGAGACACGGCCCAAACUCCUACGGGAGGCAGCAGUAGGGAAUCUUCGGCAAUGGACGAAAGUCUGACCGAGCAACGCCGCGUGAGUGAAGAAGGUUUUCGGAUCGUAAAACUCUGUUGUUAGAGAAGAACAAGGAUGAGAGUAACUGUUCAUCCCUUGACGGUAUCUAACCAGAAAGCCACGGCUAACUACGUGCCAGCAGCCGCGGUAAUACGUAGGUGGCAAGCGUUGUCCGGAUUUAUUGGGCGUAAAGCGAGCGCAGGCGGUUUCUUAAGUCUGAUGUGUAAGCCCCCGGCUCACCCGGGGAGGGUCAUUGGAAACUGGGAGACUUGAGUGCAGAAGAGGAGAGUGGAAUUCCAUGUGUAGCGGUGAAAUGCGUAGAUAUAUGGAGGAACACCAGUGGCGAAGGCGGCUCUCUGGUCUGUAACUGACGCUGAGGCUCGAAAGCGUGGGGAGCAAACAGGAUUAGAUACCCUGGUAGUCCACGCCGUAAACGAUGAGUGCUAAGUGUUGGAGGGUUUCCGCCCUUCAGUGCUGCAGCUAACGCAUUAAGCACUCCGCCUGGGGAGUACGACCGCAAGGUUGAAACUCAAAGGAAUUGACGGGGGCCCGCACAAGCGGUGGAGCAUGUGGUUUAAUUCGAAGCAACGCGAAGAACCUUACCAGGUCUUGACAUCCUUUGACCACUCUAGAGAUAGAGCUUCCCCUUCGGGGGCAAAGUGACAGGUGGUGCAUGGUUGUCGUCAGCUCGUGUCGUGAGAUGUUGGGUUAAGUCCCGCAACGAGCGCAACCCUUAUUGUUAGUUGCCAUCAUUUAGUUGGGCACUCUAGCAAGACUGCCGGUGACAAACCGGAGGAAGGUGGGGAUGACGUCAAAUCAUCAUGCCCCUUAUGACCUGGGCUACACACGUGCUACAAUGGGAAGUACAACGAGUCGCAAAGUCGCGAGGCUAAGCUAAUCUCUUAAAGCUUCUCUCAGUUCGGAUUGUAGGCUGCAACUCGCCUACAUGAAGCCGGAAUCGCUAGUAAUCGCGGAUCAGCACGCCGCGGUGAAUACGUUCCCGGGCCUUGUACACACCGCCCGUCACACCACGAGAGUUUGUAACACCCGAAGUCGGUGAGGUAACCUUUUGGAGCCAGCCGCCUAAGGUGGGAUAGAUGAUUGGGGUG
rnacentral:rRNA from 1 species